rnacentral:rRNA from 1 species
UACAGGGGGUGCAAACGUUGCUCGGAAUCAUUGGGCGUAAAGCGCGCGUAGGCGGCCAUCUAAGUCGGAUGUGAAAGCCCUCGGCUUAACCGAGGAAGUGCAUUCGAAACUGACAGUCUUGAGUAUGGAAGAGGGUCGCGGAAUUCCCGGUGUAGAGGUGGAAUUCGUAGAUAUCGGGAGGAACACCAGUGGCGAAGGCGGCGACCUGGGCCAAUACUGACGCUGAGGUGCGAAAGCGUGGGGAGCAAACAGG